ACAGUAGAGAAUGAUGCUUGGAAGACCAACUAAACGGGCCAUUCAGUUGGGAGCAAACUGAAUCCCACAUUGUCUAGUUACAUGAAAGUUUUAGGUUUAUAACCACGAACGAGCAAAGAGAAGAUCGUCCCUUCGGGGACAUCCGAUAAAAUUGGAACGAUACAGAGAAGAUUAGCAUGGCCCCUGCGCAAGGAUGACACGCACAAAUCGAGAAAUGGUCCAAAUUUUUUUUCUUUUUUCCCAGAUUUUGCUCUGAUUUCGCAGCAAUGUCCAUUCUCUCCGAUCAAGCUGCGCUUAUUAUGGAUUCCGCUGCGUUUGUUGUGCUCGUGCGCGGAGGUUAAUGAGCGCUUCUUAAUCUCAACCGGGAAAGUAGCAGGCAUGGCUCUCCCACAGUUCAUUCCCACAACAUCUUUGAAAGGGAAAACCCAUCCUUCAGAAAUCAGAAGUCAAGACGCUUACAGCAGUAACAUUAUUGGAACAGUUUUCGCUCCCAGGAGCGAGGAUGAGUGUAAGUCAAUAGUCCAUGUACUUCCUAUAGUGCCACCCUGGCCCAACUGCACCGCAUGCCAUAUCCUGCCGAUGAGGUCUGAGGACCUUGAAUUUAAAUGCCAAACUGUGCCAUUAAAUGACCAACCAGGAAUGCAUUGUAGUGGUGUUUGUAGACUUUGUAGCCAUGUUUGUCGAAGGAGAUUCGAAGUCGGAUUCUGUACUAUAUUUGAGAAGGAAAAUUUAUGAUUAGCAAUGAAGUUUUCUAAACGAGAUGGAAUUUACUUGUGGAGUCUGAAGAACUUCUUACCCGCAGAUGACAUUGAAGUGAAGAGGAAUCACAGGAGAAGAACUGCAAGAGCCAUGGAAAGGGAGAGUGCUCCGUUUGAUUGCAGAGUUGCUUUGCAAACGGUUCUGUGCAUACGAACAUUGCUUGAAUGCAAAGUUGAAAAAUAGCCUGGUUUACUCUUUCCCAGUUCCGGUUGCUUAAUCUAAAACCCAAUGAGAUAGUCUUGGUUUUGGUCUGUUUGAAUUUGGAAUGCAUCGUUGCUUUGCACAGUUUUGUACGUAUGAACAUCGCAUUAAUGUUAACUUUAAAAGGAGCGAAAUACUUCCCCUUGA